UACGGGGGGGGGUAAGCGUUGUUCGGAAUUACUGGGCGUAAAGGGCUCGUAGGCGGCCAACUAAGUCAGACGUGAAAUCCCUCAGCUUAACUGGGGGAACUGCGUCUGAUACUGGAUGGCUUGGAUUCGGGAGAGGAAUGCGGAAUUCCAGGUGUAGCGGUGAAAUGCGUAGAUAUCGGGAGGAACACCUGUGGCGAAAGCGGCGCACUGGACCAUAACUGACGCUGAGGCGCGAAAGCUAGGGGAGCAAACAGG
rnacentral:rRNA from 1 species